UUAGUGCUUAGUGUGCCAUCUGGUAUUUUAUUAAGCAGUAAACAAGAGCGGUUUCUUAUCACGUGUUUAGAAGAAUGAUCUAUUGCUCAAGAAUGCAUAAUAGAUCUUGUUAAGUUUCGUAUCUGAUUCGUAUUUGUUAUUUGUAUGUGUUUUGUUUUAUUCGGAUCGAUUAUAAUAAUAAUAAUGUUUAUACAAGUUAAGAUCCAAUUUCCUUUGUCCUAUGUAAAAAUAUUUGAUUUAAGGUUAUGUUCUCUUUUCGAGUUCAUAACUUGAUAAGUGAAUAUUCUCCGAUUCAAUCGAAUCAUGAAAUCAUUAAUUUUCUACGUUAUCAGAGAUUGGAGGUUUACUGCAUUGAAAUAAAUUUCAACAAAAAAUUGAGCGAGUAGGUUCACUUUGUCCUGGUCCAAUAUCAAAACUUCUUUAUCUGGUAUAAUGAAGAUGAUAUGUCCACAAAGAGAUCUCUGCCAUAAAUCAGACUGCGGCGUCUUGAUCUUGUACGAAAACAAAUGAAUGAUGAAACUUAGUGAUCGUCAAUCAAAAAUUUCAUAUUAUUUGUAAUAGACAUGCCUAGUACUGGUAUGUAAAAAAGAUGUAACGUUAAUAUAGUUAUCAAUUUCGUCAUAUAUCGAGAUGGAUGGUUUUUACCAUUAAUUCAGGAAUCAUGAAUUUGAUAAAACAAACUUCAUUCGUGAUAUUAUAUUUGAACAAAAAACAGCAAAGUUAAAUCCGUAACGAAUGAUUAUACCAAUUAUACGGUAUAGUUGGAAACAGAAAAAUGAAUACUAAGAUGUAAUCAGGUUUCUGUGAUUAGACCAAUCUUAACCCGUAUUUUGAAUAAGGCAAGCGAUAAUUCUUUUUUUUGAGAUUAUUCGAGCGUCUAUGCUCCUUUUUCAUCUAUGCUUUUUUUUUGAGAUUAUUCGAGCAUUCCAUGGUAAUAUUUUAAACAUCGAAUAAAUUUAAUUAUCAAUUGUAAAUACAUUUUAGAUGACCUGGAAUUUUUCAGAUCUGAUACAACGUCGGCGGAGCAUCUAAAAAUGAGAAGAGAUCAACAUGAGCAUUGAAUUAAUGUCGACAAUUGAAUUUAAUUCCUUCAUGGUAUUAUUCAAAUCUGACAUAAUGUUGUACCAUCGAUGACAUUGAAGUCAAGCAGAAGAGAAGUUGGAAGAGGGACAAGCCUUUGUCAGAAGGAUCAUUAACAACAUAUCCUUGUAAAGGUGACCGAAAGAAAGAAAUAGAAACAAAACAAAAAAAAAAUGAAGAGAAACUAGGAAAGAUGAAAUGAGAAUCGAAUUAAUUCGACAGUUUAUUACAUUCAGUGUGCCGGUAUAGAAAUAUUAUACAAAUUCGAAGAUGUUCGAACGAAUUACGAAACGUUAAAACUACAUGGUUUUUUUCCUUUUUUUUUCCUUUUUUUUUUAAACAUAUACAUACAAGAGAGAGCGACGUGUAACGUUUCUAUACAAACACCCAACACGACGAGCACAACGUAUGCACAUAAAACGGCCCGCCAUUUCUACUAAAUGAACUGUCCUAAUUAUAAUUCUAGUGUAAUGGAGUAUUUUAUUUACAAUUUAAAGUGCGUUUUUCUCCUCAACUUUUCGUUAAGCUCGCACACUUUGGUAUUUUUUUUCUUUUUUUCUAUUUUUUUUUUCCUUUUUUUUUCUUUUAAUCGAAUCUGUCUCCUCUAAGAGAGAUUUCAUCAUGCACGCGCGCAUUCCUCUUACAAAAACAAAAAAAAAAAAAAGAAAGAAAAAAAAGAAAACAGAAAAGAUAAAAAAGAAAAUGAUACUUAAUGACUGCGUUUGGGUUUCUGAGAUGUUCACAAACUUACAACAUAAUCGGGGUAGUGUGUAAUUAUUAAAUAUAACAUCAGCAUGUAUACGU